rnacentral:tRNA from 1 species
GCCUGGGUGGCUCAGUCGAUUGAGCAUCUGAUUUUGGCUCAGGUCAUGAUCUCAUGGUUCGUGAGUUCAAGCCCCACAUCGGGCU